UGGGGAAUUUUGCACAAUGGGGGAAACCCUGAUGCAGCGACGCCGCGUGAUUUAGAAGGCCUUCGGGUUGUAAAAAUCUUUUCUAUGGGAAGAAAAUGACAGUACCAUAGGAAUAAGGACCGGCUAAUUACGUGCCAGCAGCCGCGGUAAUACGUAAGGUCCGAGCGUUGUCCGGAAUCAUUGGGCGUAAAGGGUACGUAGGCGGGUAAGCAAGUUAGAAGUGAGAUCCUAUAGCUCAACUAUAGUAAGCUUUUAAAACUGCUCAUCUUGAGGUAUGGAAGGGAAAGUGGAAUGCCUAGUGUAGCGGUGAAAUGCGCAGAUAUUAGGAGGAAUACCGGUGGCGAAGGCGACUUUCUGGCCAGAACCUGACGCUGAGGUACGAAAGCGUGGGUAGCAAACAGG
rnacentral:rRNA from 1 species